UACGAAGGGUGCGAGCGUUGUCCGGAAUUAUUGGGCGUAAAGAGCUCGUAGGCGGCUCAGUAAGUCAGGUGUGAAACCUCCAGGCUCAACCUGGAGACGCCACCUGAUACUGCUGUGGCUAGAGUCCGGUAGGGGAGCGUGGAAUUCCUGGUGUAGCGGUGAAAUGCGCAGAUAUCAGGAAGAACACCCGUGGCGAAGGCGGCUCUCUGGGACGGUAC
rnacentral:rRNA from 1 species